GAUGAACGCUAGCGGCAGGCCUAACACAUGCAAGUCGAGGGGUAACAUUGGUGCUUGCACCAGAUGACGACCGGCGCACGGGUGCGGAACGCGUAUGGAACCUGCCCCUAUCAGGGGAAUAGCCUUUGGAAACGGAGAUUAAUGCCCCAUAGUAUCAUUUGAUUGCAUAAUUGGAUGAUUAAAGAUUUAUCGGAUAGGGAUGGCCAUGCGUAUCAUUAGCUGGUUGGUGAGGUAACGGCUUACCAAGGCAACGAUGAUUAGGGGCCCUGAGAGGGGGAUCCCCCACACUGGUACUGAGACACGGACCAGACUCCUACGGGAGGCAGCAGUGAGGAAUAUUGGACAAUGGUGGGAACACUGAUCCAGCCAUGCCGCGUGCAGGAUGACUGCCCUAUGGGUUGUAAACUGCUUUUAUAUGGGAAGAAACCUACUUACGUGUAAGUAGUUGACGGUACCGUAAGAAUAAGGACCGGCUAACUCCG
rnacentral:rRNA from 1 species